ACGCUCGACACCUACGGGAGGUAGCAGUGGGGAAUAUUGCACAAUGGGGGAAACCCUGAUGCAGCGACGCCGCGUGAGCGAAGAAGUAUUUCGGUAUGUAAGGCUCCAUCAGCAGGGAAGAAGAAAGACGGUACCUGACUAAGAAGCCCCGGCUAACUACGUGUCAGCAGCCGCGGUAAUCUGAGCGGGCUGGCAAGGC
rnacentral:rRNA from 1 species